CUUACUAAGUCUUUUUAACAAAAAAUGAAUUAGUUAACUGAAUGUAAAAAACAGUUAGGAAGCUGUGAACACUCAAACAAGAAAUCUGCACAUAGCUGCAGAUAAAUUCAUACUAAGCCAGCCUAACAUACAUUUACUAAUAUACAUUUACUAAUUAUAUAGCACAAUGUUGAAGUACACGUUCAUUCUAGUCCUAACAAGAAAUCUGCACAUAGCUGCAGAGUAACUUUUCAACUAAGUACUCCCUCCGUCCCGAAAAACAUGUCGCAGUGGCACUUUUACGAAAAAACCCUCAGCGAAUUCCCGACACAACCCGCACUCCCUGGUCGUCUCCCUCGCUCGUCUCCCCUGCGCGCCGGAGGUCCCCUGCUCGGUUCCCCCGCGCCGGAGGUCCCCUGCUCAGCUCCACCGCGCGUCGCCGAAGCUCCCCCGCCCCACGCCUCCACCGCGCUUCCCUCUCCUUGUUCCCUUAUUCGUUCCCCAUGGUGAAUCACGGGAAGGAGAAGGCUCGAUUUUUGUUUUCGAUCUGCUCUCCGGCGGGGGCGGCCUUUCCCGAGCUUGGCGAGCCGGAGCUGGCCCUUCCCGUCGUCAACCACCUCCUCGUCGGCUGGCCAUCGUAGACCACGAAGCCGGUACCCGCCAGUUCCUUCACCUCGCCGCCAACCUCGUCCAUCUCGCUCCCCCGCGCACCUCCCUGGAGUCGGCAGAAGCUCUCCACUUUCCCCCGUCGGCAGCAGCAACCAUCCCCGCCUUCGCCGCCCAGCAACCAGCACUGCCCGCGACCACAGAGCAAAGUUGCAGUUGCAGCAGUACGGGCCUGGAGAUUUGGUGACUGUCUUGCUGUCCGGUGAUGCAGCAGAACACUUGCAGUUGCUUAGGUGGCCUGGCCCUUUCAGUUGCAACUUGCAAAGUUCUGUAUGUUCCUUUGGGUUGUUGGUUCUGAACAUUUUGUGCAACUUGUAUGUAUCCCCUACUUCAUCACCAAUUCGUUUGACCACACCACUUGCUUGCUGAUCUUCACAGGCAUAUGAUGUGCACCCUUGGUCAUCCGAUCCCAUGAACUGCUAACGAAACAACGCCCAACGUCGUGACUGUGGUCACGUUUUGCAACCAAGCAACCGCCCUCCUCCGUUCUCCUCCAGCAGCAGCAAAAGAGUGCAGAGGAGCAGCAGCAGCAGUAGCUCGGGCACGGGAGAAGCACGGGAGACAGCAAAGCUCCAUCGGCGGGAGCUCGAGGAGAAGCAGCAACGGGAGCUCGAGGAGAAGCAGCAGCCGGAGCUCAAGGAGAAGCAGUCGCCGGAGCUUGAGGAGAAGCAGCAGCAGGAGAACGAGGACACGCGGGAGAGCAGUUUUGGGCGGCGGCGCAGAUCUGGGCGACGGCAGAGCAGGUCUGGGCGGCGGCGGCGGCGACGCCCGUACGGAAUCGCGGCUGGCCGGCGCCGGCCCCUGGCAAUCGUGCGGGGGACAAGCGGAGGAAGAUG